GGGAGUUCCCCUUUCAUUCGGAUCGUCCGGCACGUACCUGUCGGUGAAAGACGCGAGGUAAUA
rfam:Dietzia timorensis strain ID05-A0528, complete genome.